AGCGGAGUUAAUGAUUACACUUGCCAUUACUAACUCUGUCUUAAUAUGUUUAUAUGUAUGUACACUGAAUGAAUGUAUUAUAUGUCAUCUGUUUCAAUAUCGUGUUAUUUACUUUAUUAUUUACUUUAUUAUUUAAUUAUUAUUCAUUUUAUAUAUUAUUUACUUUAAUAUUUAAUUAUUAUUAUUCAUUUUAUAUAUUAUUUACUUUAAUAUUUAAUUAUUAUUAUUCAUUUUAUAUAUUAUUUACUCUGAUAUCUGAUUAUAAUGGAGGUUGCCAUGGAGACCGUUGUGUGUACGUAGCAUUAGCGCCCUCUACUGCGCCCCUGCAGACUUGACAGGUGCACCCCGCAUCUCGUCAGCAGUCUGCAUGUGCCGUCUCCGUGCAUCUUUGAGAAGCUUUGCCGCUGUGAGACUGACUGUGGGAGAUCUAACAUCAUCUCUGUAUUAUCAGAAUAAAUGGCGAGUUGGAGCCAAAAGUGACGGUGUGUGGACAUCAUUAAUAACACAACGCAAAGAGAGAGUACACAACUGCGACACUGGUGCCGUGACCCGUUCUUCUCCUUGGUGUUGCUGCGGACUCGACGUCAAGACCGGAGUUUCGUCUGCUCCGCCUGUUGCGCAAUCGGCUUUCCACGGUGCAGUGAGUCGCAAAUGUGAUUGGAAAUCUGAUGCUGUUACUUUCUAUGGACUAUAUUUUGUGAUUAGCGGAUUUGAGUGACCUAAAAGAAAAUAACUUUACAUGUAGUGCUGUUAAUGGGAUUCACUGUGUACAUGUUAUUGGUUUAUUGCUAAUUUUAUAAUUGUGAAAUGUGGAGGUAAAAAAAAAAAAAAAAAAAUAUUCUGCUAGGAUUUUAUUUUUUUUCUUCCUCUUCUGUGAGUCGAAGCAGUUUGUGUGUGGUUUGGGCAUUAUAUAUAUAUAUAUAUUUUUUUUUUUUUUUUUUUUCCUGUAUGGAGGACAAAGUGUAAAAAAAAAAAAAAAUCCCUGGAUAGGCAUAGUGUUAAGUUUUGUUUUUUUCACUGAAAAUGGAUGGGCCUAAUAUGUCGGGUAUUGGCAGGGGUACGAGUAUGUGGUUUAGUCCACUUUCAAAUGUGGACCGUGGACGAACUAGGGAAAAACCUUUGACAUCUACCCCUCAUAUUGCUAAGCAUCUUUGAGAAGCUUUGCCGCUGUGAGACUGACUGUGGGAGAUCUAACAUCAUCUCUGUAUUAUCAGAAUAAAUGGCGAGUUGGAGCCAAAAGUGA